GACGAACGCUGGCGGCGUGCUUAACACAUGCAAGUCGAACGGAAAGGCCCUGCUUUUGUGGGGUGCUCGAGUGGCGAACGGGUGAGUAACACGUGAGUAACCUGCCCUUGACUUUGGGAUAACUUCAGGAAACUGGGGCUAAUGCCGGAUAGGAGCUCCUGCUGCAUGGUGGGGGUUGGAAAGUUUCGGCGGUUGGGGAUGGACUCGCGGCUUAUCAGCUUGUUGGGGGGGUAGUGGCUUACCAAGGCUUUGACGGGUAGCCGGCCUGAGAGGGUGACCGGCCACAUUGGGACUGAGAUACGGCCCAGACUCCUACGGGAGGCAGCAGUGGGGAAUAUUGCACAAUGGGCGGAAGCCUGAUGCAGCAACGCCGCGUGCGGGAUGACGGCCUUCGGGUUGUAAACCGCUUUCGCCUGUGACGAAGCGUGAGUGACGGUAAUGGGUAAAGAAGCACCGGCUAACUACGUG
rnacentral:rRNA from 1 species